rnacentral:rRNA from 1 species
AUACGUAGGGGGCGAGCGUUGUCCGGAAUGAUUGGGCGUAAAGGGCGCGUAGGCGGCGCGGUAAGUCUGGAGUGAAAGUCCUGCUUUCAAGGUGGGAAUUGCUUUGGAUACUGCCGCGCUUGAGUGCAGGAGAGGUUAUCGGAAUUCCCGGUGUAGCGGUGAAAUGCGUAGAGAUCGGGAGGAACACCAGUGGCGAAGGCGACUUACUGGACUGUAACUGACGCUGAGGCGCGAAAGUGUGGGGAGCAAACAGGAUUAGAUACCCUGGUAGUCCACACUGUAAACGAUGAAUGCUAGGUGUAGGGGGUAUCGACCCCUUCUGUGCCGCAGUCAACACAAUAAGCAUUCCGCCUGGGGAGUACGGCCGCAAGGUUGAGACUUAAAGGAAUUGACGGGG